rnacentral:misc_RNA from 1 species
CGACGCCCCUCCCGGCUUCCUCUUCUCCGCCGCCCUCUCGCUGUUCAUUGCUCCGACGUCUCUCUCCUCUUUCGUUACUCCCUCUUCUCAACCUCCUCACCACUCACUCCCUCGUCGGAGGCAACGGCGGCGACGGCAGCAGCUCUUCUCCGGUAACGGCCGGAUCUCCAGCGGAGGUCUGUUUACCCUAUCGUCAUCAACAAAGUCUGCCAGACCCGAAGUUUACAAUGAACACUCAGCAAGUGGUACAUCCGAG